UAAGUGGGACACUGGGGUAAGUGGGACAAGUCUAGGUUUUCUCUUUAUGUUUCCUUUGUGAAUAAAGCUUCACUGGAGUAAAGAUUUUUUUUCUUGUCAGAACAAACAUAUUCAUCAACGUGGCAAAUUUCAAUCUUCUAAGCGAAAGAUUUCUCCCUAAAAAAGUGAUUUUUCUCGGUACACCUCUUGCGCCCUCGCGCCCAGUCUUCAUAUUACUAAUUCUUUUGUUUUAGUGAACAAAAGGGGUUAACGUGUAGCUCCUUUUUCGGGAGGAAAAGAGUGAUUUCCAGCCGAAUUUCAGGUCGCUUUUGUUGGGAAUACAUUCUGUGAGAGACCUGCACAUGGCUCGGAAGAAAAAAUCAUGGACUCCGAAGCAAGGGAAGUGGCAGUCCGAUGCAAUGGCUAGUGCUUAUACAGCAGUAACUGAAGGGAGACUAGGCAUCAGAGAGGCAGCUAAACAGUAUGGAGUCCCCAAAUCAACACUGUCAAGAAGGAUCCGCAAGGGGAUACCGAGUUCCUUGCCGGCUACAAGACCACCAGUAUUCAGCAUGGCUGAUGAGGAUGAACUUGUACGCCACAUCAAAGAUCUUGAAAGCCAAGGCUUCGGCAUUGGACUGCAGGCUGUGUGCAAGCUUGCGUAUGAGAUGGCAGAGCAUGCUGGUAUAAAGCAUAGAUUUAGUCAUGUCAGGAAGAGUGCAGGAUAUGAUUGUUUACGACGGUAUGCAGUGCAUUGACUGCAGUGACUGGUAUCAUGAAGCUUGCACUGGACUGUUUGGCCGUCCCAAUGAACUAAUUAUAAGUUUGUUUGCAAGAAGUGUGACAAGUAGACGUGCAUUAAGUAACAUCUCAAAUGCACUCAGCAUAUCUGGUUAAUUUUUAACAAUUAAACAAUUUCAUAGUGUGCCCAUAAAAGCAUUAACAUGUAUUAGGUAAAAACAUGCAUAAUGCGAAAAAUCAUCAUGAACAAGUUGGGCAGGAAAGAGACAAAUCUAAAAGAGAUUGUAAAAUGCAGAUUAUGAAAGGUUUCAAACAAUAGCCAAACUGAAAACAAAUGCCUAAUUGUUGCCAGCCCACCUGAAAAAAAAACAGAGAAAGAACAGGCCUUAAAUAAGGUUUUUGGUUGGAAAUUUGUUCUAAAGGGAAUCUUUUUGUUCACAUUGAUUGUACACAUGAACAUGUACACUGAUUUCGGACAUGAUGGAUGCAUCCUAAACCAAUGUAAUUCAUCUAAUUAAUUUAAUGUACAUUUGCAAUUUCUUGCCCACUUCGAAUGACAAUGUUUUCAAACAGGAUUGAUAAGCUGCUGUUAAUAGAAAGGCAUCAGUUCUUGAAA